UGAAUCAUCAUAAUCUUCUCGCAUACGCGCCUUGCUGUCCCUUUGGUAUUCCGAAGGGCAUGCCUGUUUGAGUGUCAUUAAAUUAUCAACCUUGCUCGCUUUUACUAUCUUGAUUUUGGCUUGAGAUGUCGUAUGGCUUUGCUGGCUUCCUCUCAUUGCGAUGGUCUGCUCCCUUAUAAAUGCAUUAUGGGAUCUCAUUGUGGACCGUCACUUGGUGUGAUAAUUAUCUAUGCCUCGAGACUUUGAAGCAAAUUAAUGGGAGCCUGCUUAUAACCGUCUUCGGACAAUCUCUGACAUUUUGACCUCAAUCANGUANGACUACCCGCUGAACUU
rnacentral:rRNA from 1 species